UUGCUAAGGCAUGGAAUUUGUUCGACUUUGGAAUGGAAUAGAGAAAACCGCAACACAAAUGGGGCUGCACACCAAUGCCGAAAGCAAGCUUAUUAAAGUCAGAGUUUCCAAGAAAACUCCAGCCUAGUUUCAACAAUGGAGAAACAUAUCAUUCAUGCUCUCCUUCUCCUGUACAAUUUUAUGUAAUGACAAAAAUCAACCAUGAUUGAUGCAACAAAAAUAUU
rnacentral:lncRNA from 1 species